rnacentral:rRNA from 1 species
UACGGAGGGAGCUAGCGUUGUUCGGAUUCAUUGGGCGUAAAGGGUGCGUAGGUGGCGAGGUAAGUCUGGUGUGAAAUCUCGGGGCUCAACCCCGAAACUGCACUGGAUACUGCCUUGCUUGAGUACUGGAGAGGAGAUUGGAAUUUACGGUGUAGCAGUGAAAUGCGUAGAUAUCGUAAGGAAGACCAGUGGCGAAGGCGAAUCUCUGGACAGUUACUGACACUGAGGCACGAAGGCCAGGGGAGCAAACGGG